AGGCUCCUUUGCAGUCAGAAAGAUGAAGACUAGUAGUGGGCUUGCCAGGGAUGCUGGAAAGCUCUUUAAAGGACUCUGACAUCUCUGAUCCUUGACUUUGCUGCUCUGGACUCCCAAGUGUUCCAGAAUAACUGGGAGCUGAAACAGGAAGCCCCAUGACACAGUUGAUCGAAAAUGACACAGACACAGAAAAAUCAGGACGUGCCCCCAGCAGCACCCCUACCUGCUGCCUGCUGAUCACGGCUGGGAGGCCCGUCCAGGGUUCCCACCCGGGAACGGACUCUUAGCUACUCAGUGCUCACGGGUGCUGGGCCUGCAGAGCUUUUCGGAUGCUCUCUUACAGCUGGUUUGUUAUCUUUUAAUCAAUCAACUAAUUAAUCUAUUACUUUAUUUAUUGGCCCUCCCCAUGUCUUGAUCCUUUCUUCAUUAAAAGCAAAAGGAAAGAAAA
rnacentral:lncRNA from 1 species